rnacentral:rRNA from 1 species
ACCAGACUCCUACGGGAGGCAGCAGUGGGGGAUAUUGCACAAUGGGGGGAACCCUGAUGCAGCGACGCCGCGUGGGUGAAGAAGCGCCUCGGCGCGUAAAGCCCUGUCAGCAGGGAAGAAAAUGACGGUACCUGAAGAAGAAGCCCCGGCUAACUACGUGCCAGCAGCCGCGGUAAUACGUAGGGGGCAAGCGUUAUCCGGAUUUACUGGGUGUAAAGGGGGCGCAGACGGCGAUGCAAGCCAGGAGUGAAAGCCCGGGGCCCAACCCCGGGACUGCUCUUGGAACUGCGUGGCUGGAGUGCAGGAGGGGCAGGCGGAAUUCCUGGUGUAGCGGUGAAAUGCGUAGAUAUCAGGGGGAACACCGGUGGCGAAGGCGGCCUGCUGGACUGCAACUGACGUUGAGGCCCGAAAGCGUGGGGAGCAAACAGGAUUAGAUACCCGAGUAC